GACGAACGCUGGCGGCGUGCUUAACACAUGCAAGUCGAACGGAAAGGCCCUGCUUUUGUGGGGUGCUCGAGUGGCGAACGGGUGAGUAACACGUGAGUAACCUGCCCUUGACUUUGGGAUAACUUCAGGAAACUGGGGCUAAUACCGGAUAGGAGCUCCUGCUGCAUGGUGGGGGUUGGAAAGUUUCGGCGGUUGGGGAUGGACUCGCGGCUUAUCAGCUUGUUGGUGGGGUAGUGGCUUACCAAGGCUUUGACGGGUUGCCGGCCUGAGAGGGUGACCGGCCACAUUGGGACUGAGAUACGGCCCAGAGUCCUACGGGAGGCAGCAGUGGGGAAUAUUGCACAAUGGGCGGAAGCCUGAUGCAGCAACGCCGCGUGCGGGAUGACGGCCUUCGGGUUGUAAACCGCUUUCGCCUGUGACGAAGCGUGAGUGACGGUAAUGGGUAAAGAAGCACCGGCUAACUACGUG
rnacentral:rRNA from 1 species